UAAGGGAAACAGGGGGUUUUUUAGGACUAAAGGGAAGCAGGAUUGAAAGAAGGAACCUGCAGAGACCAAGCAUGAGGGCUGCAGAUGAGAACGCUCGUUGGCUCGUCGCAACUUGCAAGCCGGGGGAUGAGCUAUUCUUCAGGCAACCAGGCUCGGUGGCUUCUUCAGUGGUCAACAGGAGCGCAGGACGAAUCUUUGAUCAGAUCAAACUCCGUUGCAACUGCCCUGAAAAAGCGGUCGCACACCUCUGAAUCCGCAUUGAAAGGGACCAAUGCACUGUGGAACGGAGAAAAGGGUCUUGUCCCAGCGGCGCUCCUUCGCGUUCCUCUGGAGGAAAACUGCCAGAGGCCAGAGCAUGGUGCGCUGAUGGAGAUGGACCUUUUUCACCCGGGUCGGCUUAAAUGUGCAACGAAGGCCAGUAGGUCUUCCCUUCUCUUUUCACCUACUCGAUCGCAGUUUCAGUGAUGGACUAGCAGGCGAGCAGCCAGCGAAUCCUGAAGCUCCCAAGGCGACCUGUGUGUUGUGUGUGUGUGUGGCCGUGUGGAUCAUGGACAUGGUCAUCCGGACCGGUCAUGCCUGAAUCCCAGCUGCCGAGCAAAUCAUUUACCACCACCCUGCACUUGCUGCAGCGCGGCUCCACUCCACCGUUGCCAACCUGUGGUGUAUGGAGCAUCCGAGCAUGGACUGUGAGUCUGUGAUCCGCGAGGCUCUCGCCGACCAUGUCCAGUGCCCGGAGACACAACCUCAUUAGUGGAGAUCAUUAGCAGCUGUUGCUCCGAUUAGAAUGCUGGACCAUGGCCCAUGCUUGGGCGCAUGUGUCCCCGACAUCGUGCACAUACGAUACGCACACUUUUACCGGGGACCCUGGAAUCUCGUGGGAGCGAUUUGUCCCACUAGGGUGGCACACCCUUGCGCUCAUCUAGGCCAAAUGCAUGGUCGCGAAAGGUACAAUGAUAGUGGCGAGUGGUGGAAAGACCUAUAAAAUGUGCAUCGCAAGUUACCACCACCGCCGUGAAAGUUCCAUUGCCCCCAAAUGCCCUAGAGCACGCCGGCCAGCUGACCAUCUGGUCCGGGCCCCUGGCUUGGUUGCUUAGCACACUUACCUUGCUUAGUGUGAUGGUGUUAGUACUACCAGCACUGGAGUGACAGGAAAAGUGAGGGAAAGUGACUGGGAUUAGCCAAGGAGGAAACGUUACAUUAGGAGGUGAAUCUGAAUAGGGGUACACUGGUCGAAAGUGAAAGAAAGGGCCUUGCACUGGUGAGAAGCAAUCAUCCAAAGGGGGAGGAAAGGCGAUCAAAGUGAGGGGAAGUUUCGUGCUUUGAUACCGCUCUCCCAGUCUCCCCUGUUGUUUUUGUUUUCGUUUUCUCACUUUGCUCAAAGGAUGCAUGCAAGUAGUAAAAGGAGCCCAGUGAUCUGCUGGGGGGAAAACUGCCUUUUGUGGCGCACAAAAGCGAAAGGCAUUGUGGCACCAUGACCGUCUGAGCAAGUUAUUCCGUAGAGUUGAAAUGUACCGUGCAGCUUUAUUCAUUUCAGGUACCACUGCAUUGGCACGUCAGGAGCCCAUCCUGCUGCGUCCAUCAAAGGUGCCAGGUGUCGCAGAGUGUGUUAAACCUCCGUCAGCUAUGAUCGUGAACGCCCCGGAGUAAUACAGAUCUCCUAACGAAAAAGGAUGGCGAAAACUAGCAAGCACCAAUUUAACAAUAAUUUUCAAUGCGUGGGGUGCAAUAUCACAUGAAAGUACAGUUAGUGGGAGCUUUGAGCUUGCAAACAAAAGGUAUAAUGAGCGAGUUUUGCUAACACAACGCAACCGCUUUAAAACAGUUCAGUUUAUAACAUAUUAAACAAACUGAUAGCCGUUAAGAAGCCACUUUGUUUGAAAGUGAUGGGGAACACUGGCAAUGCCUUCGGAGAGAAGGGAAAUGUUGCAAUAGGUUAGAGUUUGAG